UGCCUAAUACAUGCAAGUCGAGCGAACUGGCCCAACUGAAUUGACGUGCUUGCACUGAUAUGACGUUGGUUUCCCAGUUAGCGGCGGACGGGUGAGUAACACGUAGGUAACCUGCCCAAAAGCGGGGGAUAACAUUUGGAAACAGAUGCUAAUACCGCAUAACUCAACUAAGGGCAUCCUUGGUUGAUUAAAGAUGGUUUCGGCCAUCACUUUUGGAUGGACCUGCGGCGUAUUAACUUGUUGGUGGGGUAAUGGCCUACCAAGGUGAUGAUACGUAGCCGAACUGAGAGGUUGAUCGGCCACAUUGGGACUGAGACACGGCCCAAACUCCUACGGGAGGCAGCAGUAGGGAAUCUUCCACAAUGGACGCAAGUCUGAUGGAGCAACGCCGCGUGUGUGAAGAAGGUCUUCGGAUCGUAAAGCACUGUUGUUAGAGAAGAACGUGUGUGAGAGGAAAUGCUCAUGCAGUGACGGUAUCUAACCAGAAAGCCACGGCUAACUACGUGCCAGCAGCCGCGGUAAUACGUAGGUGGCAAGCGUUGUCCGGAUUUAUUGGGCGUAAAGGGAACGCAGGCGGUUAUUUAAGUCUGAUGUGAAAGCCAACAGCUCAACUGUCGUAGUGCAUUGGAAACUGGAUGACUUGAGUGCAGAAGAGGAGAGUGGAACUCCAUGUGUAGCGGUGAAAUGCGUA
rnacentral:rRNA from 1 species